rnacentral:rRNA from 1 species
GAUGAACGCUGGCGGCGUGCUUAACACAUGCAAGUCGAACGAUGAAGCCGGAGCUUGCUCCGGUGGAUUAGUGGCGAACGGGUGAGUAACACGUGAGCAAUCUGCCCUUGACUCUGGGAUAACUGCGGGAAACUGUAGCUAAUACCGGAUACGACACCUUGGGGCAUCCCAGGGUGUGGAAAGAAUUUCGGUCAAGGAUGAGCUCGCGGCCUAUCAGCUAGUUGGUGAGGUAAUGGCUCACCAAGGCGACGACGGGUAGCCGGCCUGAGAGGGGGACCGGCCAGACUGGAACUGAGACACGGCCCAGACUCCUACGGGAGGCAGCAGUGGGGAAUAUUGCACAAUGGGCGAAAGCCUGAUGCAGCAACGCCGCGUGAGGGAUGAAGGCCUUCGGGUUGUAAACCUCUUUUAGUAGGGAAGAAGCGAAAGUGACGGUACCUACAGAAAAAGCACCGGCUAACUACGUGCCAGCAGCCGCCGUAA